CGAUACGAUGGCUUUGGUCGGGGCCCACACGAAGGCCGUGCCCCUUCAUUUCAAUUCAGGAGCGAGAGCAUUGACCGUACGUUACUUGGUGCUUGUGUCAUCUAUGAUGCGCAAAUGGCAGGCGCUUCUCAGGAUCCAACCAUGGUGCCGCCUCUCUGCCGUCGUCCAACCGUCCCCAACUUAGUCACCAUCCACCAUCUCACUGUCGUGCUAUCUUUGCCGUCAUCCACCCACCUCCAACAGGUGUGCCGUCUCACAGUUGAUUCUCACAGAAGCAAGGAUCUUUCGAUCAUCUGCCAACUCUAUGCAGAUCUGUGGUCCUCAUAGCGUCUCCUCCUCUGUCCGCCGCCUCCGAGUUGCUUCCAGUGGUGGUGAUCUCUUGCCAUAGUCGAGGAUGCAGUAAGCUUUAUCUAUACUCUGUUUCCAAGAUCUGCUCAUGGUCGGCCGUCCGUCGCUGAUCUACUCGUGGUCCUCUUCAAUCGGUCCAACUUAGAGGUAAAUGAUCUUCUCUAACCUUCUUUUAGACGAUCUUGGUCAGGUUUGAAAUAAGAAAUGAAAUAUACACAGAUAGAGACUUCAAAGCACGGAUCCAAACCUUAUCAUUGUACUAAUCAGCAGAGUAAAAUGAUGCAUUGCAACAGCACACGUUUUUCUAGCAAUACAGCGUAGAAAUAGAGCCUCACGUUUAAGAAAGGUCGCUCAAAUUCUGUUUUCCUCUCCACUCUGAUCUAUGCACGGAUGGAUUUGUUCUCACGAUUGCUAGCUUAGUUUUGUAUGAUUUGAACCAUUUACAACUCUUGAACAUUUGCAAAUAAUAAUAUGGGUGAAAGUUGAUUUUUCAUGCUAUUUCUGUGUUAGUUUUGUGCCUAGUUGAACUUUGUGUUGAAAAUGGGAGACCUGUUAAAAGUUAAUAUUUUAGCUAUUGAAACCUAAUUUUAGUCAAAAUGUUAUACAUUUGCAAAUUGUGGGAAAGCUGUUGAAAGUUAAUUUUGUGCCAAGUCGAACUCUUUGCUGGUUUUGGUUUGUGAUCACUGAUUACUGAAGCUUUAUUCUCAAACAAUAUGUUUUGCAUAUAUAGGGGUCAUUUAGUCAAAUUUUUUGCUAUGUAAGUCUCUGUUGAAUUUGGCUCCUCUGAAAAUUGUCAAGUUUUUGUCAUGCAAUAUUUUAAUUAUAAUUUCUAUAAUUAAUAUGUUAGUUUUUUAUAUAGUAUAAUGAGUAACAACAAGUCAAAAGCUUCAUGGGAUCGAAGAAAUACUAGACUCUUUAUUGACAUUUGUUUGGACCAAACUCGAAAAUCGCAAAGAAAUGGCGGUAGUUUUACCAAAGCAUGAUGGCUCAACAUAAUUUCUACCUUCAAUGAGAAGACUGGACAGAAAUAUGAGAGACAACGAUUCAAGAAUAAGUGGGAUAAUAUGAGAAAAGAGUGAGUAUUGUGGGAUAAGUUGGUUUCAAGUGAGACAGGAUUGGGUUGGGAUUAUGCAAACAAUACUGUGGAUGCUUCAGAUGAUUGGUGGGAGAAGAAGAUAUUGGUAUGAUGUUAUUAUAUGAGGCUUUAUAUUUAUUUUAUUUAUUUGUGUAUUCUGUAAUAUUAUUGAUAAUUUAUGUGCAAGAAAAUCCAUUAUAUGAGAAAUUCAGACAUAAAGGAUUACCAUUUGCCAAUGAAUUAAUCGAGUUGUUCCAAGGUAUUAUCGCCAAUGGACCUAGAGCAUGGGCACCUUCAAGUGGAGUUUUGCCUAACAUUUACAAUGGGAAUGAAGGUAAGGAUGAAGAGGUGUAUCGGCCAGAUAUGACAAAUGAGGGUAUUAAUUUGGAGGAAGGUUCAAGAGAUAGUGAUGAGAUCUUAGGAACUACUGGAGUAAGCGGUGAAUUUAAUAGAGUAGUUCUAAAUGCUUCUCAAGGAACCUUAAGUGGAGGCAGUGGUAAGAGGAAGAGGGGCGAAAGCAGUAACGCUAGAAAGAAGAACAAGUUACCUAGUACAAGUCAAAUAGCAGAUGCAAUGAGUGUGAUAGCUCAGACAACAAAGGAAGAAUCUCAACAGGCCAAGGAAACAUCAAUUCCCUAAGUCAUGUCCAUAGUCAAACAAUGGGAAGAAGUUGCAACUAAUAAACAUUGGGUUUCACGAUGCAUGUCACUCUUCAUGUCCUGAGAGGCUAGGGUGAUGUUUUUGACAAUGAAGGAUGAUAAAGAAAGUGUUUUGGAGUGGUUGAGAUAUGAAUGUUACAAAAAUGGUUGAUUAUUGGAGUUUCAAAACUUAUUAUGAGUAUAUGAUCUUACUUAAAGAGUAGUCUAACAUAUUUGUAUUAUAUUGUAGAAUUUGACUUAUGUAGCCUCUUGAACUACUUAUGUACUUUUUAUAUGUGGUAAUCAAGUAAUAUAAUGUUGUGGAAAAGUCAUUGGUAUUUCUAUAGAUGACUUAUUUAGAUGUAUCUAUAAUUGAAAUUAAGUGCACGUAUUAUUUAUGUGUUUGGCUACAGAUAACAAGACAUAUGGAAGAGUCAUCUAAAAAAAGGCUCAAUAGAGCCCAAAAAGUUAGUGCUCUCAUUGGGUUGUAUGCAACAAAACAUUUGUACAAAGAGCCAUAAAGAAAUAGUGAAUAUACAGGUCAUUUAUGGGUGAAUGAAAUUUUAGAAGGACACCCAGUUCGUUGCUAUGAAAUGUUUAGAAUGGAACCACAUGUGUUCCAUCAAUUAUGUAGUGAAUUGACACAGCAUGGAUUGAAGGAUACUAGGCGAAUGAGAGUACAGGAGAUGGUUGCAAUUUUUUUAAAUACAACUGGACAUGGGUUGGGAAAUAGGAUGGCACAAGAAAGAUUUCAACAUUCAGGAGAGACUAUUCACAGACAUUUUCAUGAAGUUUUAAUGGCUUGCUCGAAACUUGCAAUGGAAUAAAUCAAACCACAAGACAGGUUCUUUCAUCAUGUAUCAAAUAAAAUAGAAAAUGAUAAGCGAUAUUGGCCAUUCUUUAAAAAUGCCAUUGGAGCAAUUGAUGGCACACAUAUUCCAUGUGUAGUCCCUACUAGUGAGAAAUCAAAAUAUAUUGGAAGAAAAGGAAUCCCUACGUAAAAUGUAAUGGCUGUGUGUGAUUGGGACAUGUACUUUACUUUUGUCUUAGCUGGAUGGGAGGGCACUGCACAUGAUGCUCACAUUUUUCAACAUGCCCUAACAACUCGAUCCAUGAACUUUCCACACCCGCCUUCAGGUAAAUAUUAUUUGGUGGAUGCUGGCUAUCCAUCACUAAAUGGAUAUCUUGGUCCGUAUAGACAGGAACGUUACAAUCUUCCUAAUUUUAGAAGAUCAACUGAAUUUGCAAAUAAUAACGAGGUCUUUAAUUAUUUUCAUUCAAGUUUACGGUGCACAAUAGAAAGAACAUUUGGAGUUUGGAAGAAGAGGUUUGCAAUUUUACGCAACAUGCCUAGCUAUGACUACGAUAUACAAGUUCAAAUCGUUAUUGCAUCAAUUGCGAUACAUAAUUUCAUUAGAAGACACUCUAACUCUGAUGCUGAUUUUAUGCGUAAUAAGAGGAAAGAUCAGGAAGACUCUAAGGAUCAAGAAGACCAUGGUGUUGAUGAAUAUUUAUCCAUGACAUCUUUUUCAUCAGCUAUGACUAGUAUUCGUGAUAUUAUUAGGGACCAA